AUGUUAUUUAGAUUUUUAAAAAUUUUGUAAAUAUGUAUUGCAUAAUUGAGUAAUUUUGUUUAGUAAUUUGGUUAGGAAUCGCUCAUUCGGAAAGAAAUGAGAUAACUCUAAAGAGGAAUAAUUUUAUUAACGAGAGAGAUGGGGUGAAUAUCUCACAUUUUUUUAAAGGCUUGUUUGAUUCAUAAUAUAUUUUUUGUAAGAUGUUUAGAAAUUCAAAUCGGGAAUUGAGAAAUCUGAUGUUUGGUUUCUGCAUUUAUCCGAUGUAGCGGAUAUUUGUGAUUUUUAUGAUAUCUUCUAAUUAUAUAUGUGUUGAGCCAUUUAGGCGUAGA
rnacentral:lncRNA from 1 species